GUCGGGGUGCUGAAAUGGUAUACAGUUCAGUCUCAAAAACUGAUGAGCCGAAACGCUCGUGCGGGUUCGAGUCCCGCUCCCGACA
rnacentral:tRNA from 1 species